UACGUAGGGUGCAAGCGUUAAUCGGAAUUACUGGGCGUAAAGCGUGCGCAGGCGGUGAUGUAAGACAGUUGUGAAAUCCCCGGGCUCAACCUGGGAAUUGCAUCUGUGACUGCAUAGCUAGAGUACGGUAGAGGGGGAUGGAAUUCCGCGUGUAGCAGUGAAAUGCGUAGAUAUGCGGAGGAACACCGAUGGCGAAGGCAAUCCCCUGGACCUGUACUGACGCUCAUGCACGAAAGCGUGGGGAGCAAACAGG
rnacentral:rRNA from 1 species